CGGAGGGUGCAAGCGUUAUCCGGAUUUACUGGGUUUAAAGGGUGUGUAGGCGGACUUUUAAGUCAGGGGUGAAAUCCCGAGGCUCAACCUCGGAACUGCCUUUGAUACUAUUGGUCUUGAAUGUUGUUGAGGUGGGCGGAACGGGUCAUGUAGCGGUGAAAUGCAUAGAUAUGACCCGGAACACCGAUUGCGAAGGCAGCCCGCUAAGCAACUAUUGACGCUGAGGCACGAAAGCGUGGGGAUCAAACAGGAUUAGAUACCCUGGUAGUCCACGCCCUAAACGAUGAUUACUCGACGUUGGCGAUACACUGAUCAGCGUCCAAGCGAAAGCAUUAAGAAUCCACCUGGGAAGUACGUUCGCAAGAAUG
rnacentral:rRNA from 1 species